rnacentral:rRNA from 1 species
CCUACGUGCGGCAGCAGUGGGGAAUAUUGGACAAUGGGCGAAAGCCUGAUCCAGCCAUGCCGCGUGUGUGAAGAAGGCCUUCGGGUUGUAAAGCACUUUCAGUGGGGAAGAAAGCCUUGGGGCUAAUACCCUCGAGGAAGGACAUCACCCACAGAAGAAGCACCGGCUAACUCCGUGCCAGCAGCCGCGGUAAUACGGAGGGUGCGAGCGUUAAUCGGAAUUACUGGGCGUAAAGCGCGCGUAGGCGGUCUGAUAAGCCGGUUGUGAAAGCCCCGGGCUCAACCUGGGAACGGCAUCCGGAACUGUCAGGCUAGAGUGCAGGAGAGGAAGGUAGAAGUCCCGGUGUAGCGGUGAAAUGCGUAGAGAUCGGGAGGAAUAACAGUGGCGAAGGCGGCCUUCUGGACUGACACUGACGCUGAGGUGCGAAAGCGUGGGUAGCAAACAGGAUUAGAUACCCGAGUAGUC